GCAUUGAGAUCCAUGAGCUUUAGCAAGGCGCUCUUGUACUGGGUGAAGUUUGUUUCUUGUACUACCGAUGCCCUCAACAGUAGUGACAGCCAUGCCAUGCAUUGCACACACUGGUGUUAAACAUGCAUUCGCUGCUAAAUGACUGCAUAAGUUUUAUGUAAUAAAUUAAUGUCCAUUCUGGCUCAAUGUUGCAGUCUUUAAUCUAAAACAUUCUCUCCUGUGAUAUAACGUACAUGUGUAGUUCAAAGAUAAAAGAAGAAUUAUAUUGAGAGAGUGCGAGAGAGAUCGCUGAUAAUUCAAGAAAUGAAGGACGCCGUUGCGUUCGUGCGAGAGAGAAAGCGACGACUGGAGCGAACCAUGAGUAUGCACCUAGAGUGCAUAAAGUAAUGAGCGAAUCAGGUUCGUGAGAACGUAAAAAACUAGUUGUCGCAUUCGACUCACGAACACUUCUCUGCAGUAAGUUGAUCAACACAAGCCAUACGAAUGCGGGCUGCAGUAGCUGGCGAAUCAAGUCUAAAAUACCCGUGGAUUCCCAUGUCUUUUCGAGCAGCUCUAAUAGCUUCCUUGAUGCCGAAGAAUGCAGAAGAUGCCAAAAAUAGAGGGGGUUCACCAGUAGCCUGUAAAGCGCACAUAAAAUUGUGAAAUAUAUACAUCGAAUGAUACUUUUUACGUAGUAUAUAAAUCAGUGUUCAUAUUUAUUACUUUUGAAGAAAAUACUGCUCGUGGAUUGGAUGAAGCCUUAAGUAAUGAUACAUUAAACUCUCUCGGUAUAUUCGUAAAACUCGGUAUUUUAUAUACUCCUGGUCCGCGACUAAAUACAACUCCUGUUGGAGAAUACACCAUUUCUUCCAUUGUGAAUAAUCCAUAACCUUGCAUGAAUCCACCUUCUACUUGGCCAAUAUCAAUAGCAGGAUUUAAACUUUCCCCAAGAUCCAUAACAACAUCACUCCGUAAAACCUACAAAUUCAAAAUUAUUAUACAAACAUUCAAUUUCCAUAAAAAUUGUUGUUUUCUCCUAAACGAACUAUUGUGAUACUGAAAUUUUCGAUUUCAAUAGUAGCAUGUUUAGUGAGUCCGGGCGGAGGCCCUUCAACGGCCCGAGAUAUCAACCCUAACCCGACCUCACUUAGCGGGUUCAUUUAUCGGGCGAUUUGGGUACCUUAGCACGUUUUCUCGUUAAUCUAACCUACAUAGGCUUGAAGGGGUCGGAAAAAUACGCAAAAAUAGGUAGGUCAGAUGUUUGGGCAGUUCCUGCUAAGUGACGAAGUAUCGGCUCGAACCGAAGGCUAUAAAUCGCGUAUUUCUUGGGGCUGACUUAUCGGGCUUUUUCGAUACCCUAGCACGUUUUCUCGUUGAUCUUACCUACGUAUGCUUGAAGAGGACGGAAAAAUACGCAAAAAUAGGUAGGACUACACUUCCGCCAGCUUCUGCCAAAGACCGAAAAAUCACUUUAUCUGUGAUAUUGAUACCUGCCUGCCGGUACAAGGUUUCCCCUUUUAUUUGUAUUUGAAAUAUUUCGUUUACCUCGU